rnacentral:rRNA from 1 species
CUAUGGGUUGCAGCAGUGAGGAAUUUUGCGCAAUGGGGGAAACCCUGACGCAGCAACGCCGCGUGAGUGAAGAAGGCCCUUGGGUCGUAAAGCUCUGUCAAUGGGGAAGAAGUUACUUGGUAUUAAUAGUGCCUUGUAUUGACGGUACCCAUGAAGGAAGCACCGGCUAACUCCGUGCCAGCAGCCGCGGUAAUACGGGGGGUGCAAGCGUUAUUCGGAAUUAUUGGGCGUAAAGGGCACGCAGGCGGUCCUGUCAGUCAGAUGUGAAAGCCCGGGGCUCAACCCCGGACGUGCAUUUGAAACAGCAGGACUUGAGUACGGGAGAGGAAAGGGGAAUUCCUGGUGUAGAGGUGAAAUUCGUAGAUAUCAGGAGGAACACCGGUGGCGAAGGCGCCUUUCUGGACCGAUACUGACGCUGAGGUGCGAAGGCGUGGGUAGCGAACGGGAUUAGAUACCCGAGUAGUC